rnacentral:rRNA from 1 species
CCAAUAGCGUAUAUUAAAGUUGUUGCAGUUAAAAAGCUCGUAGUUGAAUUUCGAGAUCAGUACGCUGGUCGUGCCUUUGGUAUGCACUGGUGUCACUGGUUUCUCCCUUCUGAAGAACUGUCAUGCCAUUCAGUUGGUGUGGCGGGGAAUCAGGACCGUUACUUUGAAAAAAUUAGAGUGUUUAAAGCAGGCUUGCGCUU